AUUGAACGCUGGCGGCAUGCUUUACACAUGCAAGUCGAACGGCAGCACGGACUUCGGUCUGGUGGCGAGUGGCGAACGGGUGAGUAAUAUAUCGGAACAUACCCUAGAGUGGGGGAUAACGUAGCGAAAGUUACGCUAAUACCGCAUACGAUCUAAGGAUGAAAGCGGGGGAUCGCAAGACCUCGUGCUCAUGGAGUGGCCGAUAUCUGAUUAGCUAGUUGUUGGGGUAAAGGCUCACCAAGGCGACGAUCAGUAGCUGGUUUGAGAGAACGACCAGCCACACUGGAACUGAGACACGGUCCAGACUCAUACGGGAGGCAGCAGUGGGGAAUUUUGGACAAUGGGCGCAAGCCUGAUCCAGCAAUGCCGCGUGAGUGAAGAAGGCCUUCGGGUUGUAAAGCUCUUUUGUCAGGGAAGAAACGGUUGUGGCUAAUAUCCAUGGCUAAUGACGGUACCUGAAGAAUAAGCACCGGCUAACUACGUGCCAGCCGCCGCCGUAACAC
rnacentral:rRNA from 1 species